rnacentral:rRNA from 1 species
AUUGAACGCUGGCGGCAGGCCUAACACAUGCAAGUCGAACGAGUGGCGGACGGGUGAGUAAUGUCUGGGAAACUGCCUGAUGGAGGGGGAUAACUACUGGAAACGGUAGCUAAUACCGCAUACCAUCAGAUGUGCCCAGAUGGGAUUAUCUAGUAGGUGGGGUAACGCCUCACCUAGUCGACAAGCCCUAGCUGGUUUGAGAGGGUGACCAGCCACACUGGAACGGAGCCACGGUCCAGACUCCUACGGGAGGCAGCAGUGGGGAAUAUUGCACAAUGGGGGCAAGCCUGAUGCAGCCAUGCCGCGUGUAUGAAGAAGGCCUUCGGGUUGUAAAGUACUUUCAGCGGGGAGGCGUUACCCGCAGAAGAAGCACCGGCUAACUCCGUGCCAGCAGCCGCGGUAAUUC